CAAGCUCUAUGUGACUAAAUUGAACAAUUUUCUGCUUUUGUUUACAAGGAAAAUGCUUCUCUAAGAAGUGCUAGGGAAAGAAGGUCUAAGUAAAAGAAAUUUAUCACUGCCACAAUAGUAAACUGUUUUCCACAUAGACUUAAAGGAGCUUAAAUCAGCUUGCGAAAUAUUAAGCACCUGGCAUGUGGAAAACGAAGUCCAAUUUGGAGACCUAUAUGUGAAUGAAAAACUUUCCAAGGAUUGAUAGAAAAGCUUGCACAACCCAAAGCAAAAAAAGAUCCUAAAUAAGUAACCAAGUUUAUAAACUGAUAAAUCUGACAUGGCUUUCUUCUACAGCUCUUACUAGAAAUAUAGACAGUCUUGUAUUUACUCACAAAACUUCAAGUGUAGAAGUCCAGUUGCUUGUAUCCCUCCCAGCAUUUGCUCAAGGCAUACAGGACAUUGCCUUUGAGGGGAUUAUUAACAGACCAAACCCAUCAAACAAAUGAAAGCCAGAAAACUUAAGAAGUGAUGGCUGAAGAUGUCCCUGUCUCUGAAUUACUUACGCAAAUUCAGUCUGUACAGCUCACCUGCUCCAAACAGCCCAUAGUGCUGGAGACUGUCCAGCCUCCCAAGGCAGCCCAGUGCUCGGUUAGAAUCUUUCAGCAUGUCUCCUUUAGGUCUCUCUCACUGUAAUUCAAAUCCACUACUUCUCCUAACAGCCAAAUUAACUAUGCCUAACAGUUUGUUCUUUUCCUGAAUAAUCUUUUCUGUAUUGAAAGAGAUUGACAUAAUCCCUCUCAGUGUAGUCUUCUUCAGACUAAACAAUCCUAGUUUGCCUAAAUAUUUCCUACAGGCCUACAUUUAGAUGGCUGAUCUUUAUGAUUGCUUGCAACUGGACUCUCUCCAGCUACUCUACCUUUUUGAGUGAAGUCACAGUUCUGCCAACGAGUUCAUAGCACUGGGGAAGAGAACAGAUGAAUUACAUCACAAAGUCUGGGAGUUCCUUGCUGCAAUGACCUCUGGCCAUGCAGAGAAUCAGCGAAGUUGGUUGUCUGGGGAGAAGAAAGCCUAUUAGGACCAACAAAGUAAAACACUUUGGAAGGAAGACAUAUUGUCAUUCUUUGGUUCUUCUAAGCUCAUUUGCUUCUGAAUCCAAGUUCUGUUUUCAGUCAUGUCUGAAAUAGCAUCUGUUCUACUAUGGGCACUUCUGAAAAUCUUUUAAUGCUUUCUCAGCCUAUUUCCUCUCCAUUACAAAGCUUUUUAUAUGAAUACAAUCUGCAACCUUUCAAAAUCAUAAAAUCCUAAUUUUACUCCAUA